UGGGGAAUUUUGGACAAUGGGCGAAAGCCUGAUCCAGCAAUGCCGCGUGUGUGAAGAAGGCCUUCGGGUUGUAAAGCACUUUUGUCCGGAAAGAAAUCCUUGGCUCUAAUACAGUCGGGGGAUGACGGUACCGGAAGAAUAAGCACCGGCUAACUACGUGCCAGCAGCCGCGGUAAUACGUAGGGUGCAAGCGUUAAUCGGAAUUACUGGGCGUAAAGCGUGCGCAGGCGGUUUGCUAAGACCGAUGUGAAAUCCCCGGGCUCAACCUGGGAACUGCAUUGGUGACUGGCAGGCUAGAGUAUGGCAGAGGGGGGUAGAAUUCCACGUGUAGCAGUGAAAUGCGUAGAGAUGUGGAGGAAUACCGAUGGCGAAGGCAGCCCCCUGGGCCAAUACUGACGCUCAUGCACGAAAGCGUGGGGAGCAAACAGGAUUAGAUACCCUGGUAGUCCACGCCCUAAACGAUGUCAACUAGUUGUUGGGGACUUCAUUUCCUUAGUAACGUAGCUAACGCGUGAAGUUGACCGCCUGGGGAGUACGGUCGCAAGAUUAAAACUCAAAGGAAUUGACGGGAUCAUAGCUGUUUCCU
rnacentral:rRNA from 1 species